ensembl:processed_transcript 9230114K14Rik RIKEN cDNA 9230114K14 gene
GAGCUGAUCUGAACCGCUGCUAAGGACUGAGACGCGCCUCGAGCUGUCACUUGCCGCCUGGAGUUCGUUGGGAAAGUUGAAAAAGCCUAGUCCUGUUUAGGAAAUCUAUCCAGCUGUGUAUAUCCUUUUUGCUUUUAGGGUAUGAAGCUUAGGAAGGAUAAGAAAAACAAGAUCACACAGCUGGCAAGUGACACAAUUUAUAACUCCAGAACGAGAAUUUGCAGUUGUUGCGCCAGAUGCCCUGUAGCGGGGCUGCCACCAAGAAGGUGGAAGAACACCUUUAGUUCCAGCACUCAGGACACAGAAACAGGUGGGCAGAUGUCAGUUCCAGGCCCUCCUAGUCUACCUAGUGAGUUCUGGGAUGGCCAGAACUACAUCAUGAGACCUGUCUCAAAAAAAAGGAAGAAAAAGAAAAUGCUCACAGGUAUGCCCAGCUGCUUGGGUUUGAAUUGAUUUCAGAUACAGUCAAGUUGACAUCAAGACUAUCCACCAACCAAUCUUUAAUUUAUUCAUUCAAUGGAUAUUUUUAAGCCUAUGUCUGGCAUUAAGUUAAGUGCUAGAGAACCGGGGAAAACAGGACAGCCAUGUUUUCUGCCUUCAUGAUCUUUCUGGAAGGAGAGAAACAGCAUUUAACAGUGUGGAAAGCUGCUUUGUGAAGACUGUAACAAGUCCUAAGAAUGCCAUCUACAGAGGACUGGGGUGGUGAGAACAUAAGCUAAGUGGUCUUGGUCUCCACUACUGUUGAAAGAAGAGGCCCUGAGGAAAGAGACAUUAGAUAAAGACCCACAGGGGUUCUAGAAAGACUCCAGGUGCUUGACUCCAGUUCUUUGGGGGUUUUUGAGAUGAGAUCAGACUCAGGCUGGCACUGAACUUCUGAUCCUCCUGCCUCAGCUUCUCAGGAUCUCUCUGUAUAGCCAUGACUAUCCUGGAACUCACUAUGUAAACCAGAGAUCUGCUUGCCACUGCCUCCCAGGUGCUGGGAUUAAAGUGGCUCGUCUGGGUUCAGGAAAGUAUAGCUCCACUUUAGUGUUCUUAUGGAUCAUCGACUGUACCCAAGACCAGAAUGGAAACAACUAGAUCAUCUUCAACUGAAGAAUGGAGACAGAAACGUGAUACAGGUACACAAUGGACUACCUUUCAGCUAUGAAAAAUAAAGACAUCAUGAAUUUUACAGGGAAAUGGAUGAAUCUUAAGAAUACCAUCCUGACUGAGGAGUCUAUCAUGGAUGUCAGCAGCUGACUCAGAAAGAUGCAGGCACCCACAACCAAACAGUAGAUCAAGCUUGGGGACUCUUAUGGAAGAAUGGGAGAAAAGAUUGCAGUUCCUAAGGAGAUAGGAACUCCACAGGAAGACCAACAGAGUCAACUAACCAGGACCCUUGGGGAUCUCAGAGAUUAAACCACUAUUUAUAUUAAAACAUUUUAGAAUUUAACAAAUGUUAGUUGUUCUUUAACCAUUUGUAGCUGGUAGUACUAAGAACAGGAAAAAAUAAAAUAUAAUAUUUUCUUUUCACAUAUUUUUAUGAAUGUUAGCACAUGGUUUGUCUAAGGUGAUUUUAGGUUUGAAAUAAUCAACUAAAUGGAGAAAAAUGAAAAAAGAGAAAGUAUAAGUCUUAUUAGGCACUAGGUAAAUGAAAUUAAUGAACCAGAACAAAAGUCAAAAGUGCACUGUACAACGGAAAAGGAUAUCCCCAGAGAUGGACAAGAGGCUGAGUCUAACAAUUCAUGAACUGCUACUCACACUUUUAAAUAUUGCAUAUGAAUGAUGAACAAUACAGAAAUGGUUGUACUGGACUUAGGCUAUGAAUUUUCCAAUAGAGUUCAGCAACCCCCCCCUAAAAAAAAGCCAAAUUAAAAAUGGAAAGCAAAGGGGCUGGAGAGAUGGCUCAGUGGUUAAGAGCACUGACUGCUCUUCCAGAGGUCCGGAUUUCAAUUCCCAGCAACCACAUGGUGGAUCACAACCAUCUGUAAUGGGAUUCAACGCCCUCUUCUGGUGUGUCUGAAGAGAGUGACAGUGUGCUCAUAUAAAAUAAAUAAAUAAAACUUUUUUGAAAAAAUGGAAAGC